AGUUUUUUGCCAAACUCACCUUGUUGCUACGUUGUUCUCAUUUUCGUGAGGGUUUUUGUUCUUUAUAUUACAAGUGAUCAAAGGUAAAGUUGAGGAUGUUGAAUUGCCUGAGAAAGCAGACAUUCUGAUUUCUGGGGCUAUAUGAUUCAGAACGGUGUUGUAGGGAGCACAGAUCCAUUGCCAAAAUAUCAGAUCCGAGGCAACACAAUUGUAAGAAAUGAGAUCUGGAUCUGUACAUAACAGAUCUGUACACCCCUCUUUUGUUGGAAAUCAUGCCUAUGUAUUCUCAUUUAUAGCAUUUUUUGUUAUCUUUGUUUGAAUAACUCUGUUUAACAUCUUCAAAACUUCUUUUUGGUGUACAUUACUUCUUUUGACAGCAUCAAAUGAGAAAGGUCAGGGUGACACAAUUGAGGUCAUGAGUGCCCAGUAGGCAGAGGACUUGAAAACAAAGGAAAAGAGACGGAGGGAGCGUGAGAAACAUAUGCCACGAAAGAAAUGCCGAAGAUUGGAAGUAGCUUGGGAGAUGUUGGAAGAUGAAGGUCAAACUGGCAAUUCAGAGCAGGUCUGUUCAAAUGUCUGCACGCAUUUGUAUAAAUACAGAAACAUGAUACACAUUGGCAAUUCAGAGCAGGUUUAUGAUAUGAGGUUUGAGUUGAAUGAAGUAGAAGCAAGGAAUGAAACAUACCCAUCCACAAUAUCUUUCCUUACCUUAUUAAAUGCUCUUAUUACAAAAGAAAGGGAUGUAAGCAAUAGAGGUCGUAGGUAUUGAAUUAAAGAUCUCUUAAAAGAUUCUGAGCCUGUAUGAUAUUAAGGAUGAGAUUAUAGUGUUUUUAAUC